CCCUCUCCAAGCGCGCAUUCCCUCGAUCUGCUCGCCUCCGGUAAAGCGGCCGCCGUUCACCCUCUCUAUCAACGUGCCCUGCUUGAGUUGCUUCCGGCGGUCCGACUCCAUCGCCAGCAGGCCAUCUAGGGUUCGCCGUCUGGUAGGUUCCCUCCACCGGCCGGCCGCCAGGCCCUCCGUCUCUCCGGCAGACGGCACCAAGAAGGCAAGAGCCGCCACCGCACGCACGCAGCCUGUGUAUGUGAAAGACUUUUUUUUUUUGCCCUCUGAUCCGUGAUGGUCCUGGGCAUCAGAGUUCAAAUUAAUACUUAAAUCAAGGUGGAUUCUGUAGCACAGGAGGCUGCAGAGGCGAGCAGGUGAGAGCUGCUGAUUUUAGCAGUUACAAGUUGUUACCUAUCGUUUUUUAUGUGAUUUCGUUCAAAUUUAAGGAUUGACAAAAUUUAAGGAUUGACAAGUCAUUAUAAUUUCGAGUCCAUCAUGAGCUAUUGUUAGGUGAAAAUAACAAAGUGAAAAGGUUCGAGAAAUCAGACUUGGUUUUGGCCUGAAGCUCAACACUAAAAUAUGCCAUCAACUGACACAGUUACUCCAUGAAUGUGCUUGGAUAGUCAACGUAGUUGUACUUUUUAAUCUUUAGAUUGUCAUCUCUACUUGAGAAAAAGGGGAAGUGGCUUAUAGGUCAAAACCACAGAUCCAAUGCUAAGCAUUUAUUAUGUAUACUGCGGUAUAUAAAUUUCUCAAAUUCGGUUGCUGCAUAUUUGGUGUUCUUAUAUAAUGAUAUCCAACUGACAAUGUUAUGCUUACAUUUACUUUAGGAUGUGAGAGUUUGGCACAAAAGUUUGUCCAAUUUAACCGGCAAUGAGCAUCUGCUUUAAUUUGAUUCUGCAUUAAUGAAGUUCGGAAACUGACAUGCCUCUGAGAGACUGAUACUUCUGGGUUGCUGCAUCGGUGUGGGCCGCGACGGCGUGGUGGCAGUCCACGGUGGUGGUGCGGGGCGGUUCGUUGCGACGGUGGGACAUGCUCCGGCGUCUGGCCAUUGGCGAGCUGCUCGUGUGGAUGCCCCUUGGUCCUCUAGCGGCAACAGGAUGUGGUCUUUCCGGCGCCUCGCGUCGUUGGGCGAGUGUCCAGUUCCUACCAGAUGCAGAUCCAGGCCGGGAGCUGUGGUUGGGCGUUGCAGGGUGCGACUUUGGAGAGGUGACGGGUGGUGCCGAUGCAGUCGGGCUGCCUGUUACCGGCAGGGGUGCGGACAUCGACUUGGUCCGCUCCCGCUUCACCUCUUCUCCGACCUGCUGGCUCCCCGAUCGAUCUGGUUGUUUUGGUCGCUGCGGCCUUGUUGCCGGUCGGUGCAUCUCAUGCAGCGAUGGAGGAUCUAUGGUGUGUCUUGUUACCUGGGCGGCGGCCCGGGUGGUAGGUGCUGCGGUGCUCGUGGGCUGACCUUGUGGCUCAGGUGCGGGCGGUUAGCGACCAUGGCCGUGUGGGCGGUGUGGUGGCUGGCGUUUUGACGAUCUGUUGUGGUGAAGACGGAGUUUGCUGCCGGGGUGAAAACCCUGUGGCUUGGCCAGGCCGAUGGAGGCGGCGCCAGUGGACGUCGUCAUCUUCCUGAAGUCUUCGUUGUGGUUACUCCUUUCCCUUUGUCAUGCUCCGGAUGAAAAUCUAGAUCUUUGGAUCGGCCGGUGGCGGCGUUUUGUUCUGUCCUUCUUGAAGGCACUGUCUUGGAGCUCUCAGUUCAUCGUCAUUCAACUUCACCUCUUCGCGGGUUCUCCCGGAAGAGCUCCGGUGGCUCUUUAGCGUCUACUUCAUGUCCUUCGGGGUGUUGUUGUUGUAGGCCUUUGGCACCUAUGUAUCCGGCCUAGGGUGAGUGUGUGUUCGUGUGUUGUGUUGUGGGUUGUAUUGAUCGGUUGUUGGUUGUUGCUUUAUAUAUAAAGCCGGACGAAAGCCUUUUUCGGUAAUGUGUAUUUUGUUAUCAAAAGAUGCUGAUGGAUGCAGAAAGAAAGGGAACCAAAGGCUUUUUCUUUGAAGUUCAUCUUAGAAAUCAUGUUAUCUGUCAAAGUAUAAUACAUUCAAUGGCUUACUUGCUGUUUUUAUAGGUGCUUCUUGCUGAACGAGCCGAGUGGAUGUGCUCUUUCCUAAGGCCAUAAUCUGUUCAGGUAGCUGCUCUUUCUAAAGGUGAAUGGCAUGCUUUUUUUUAUAGCUCUUUCAUGCUUAAUGAAUUUUUCACAUGGUCUAUUCCCUAAGGUCAAAAUGUGUUCAGGUAACUUCUCUUGGAAAAGGUAUAUUCAUGCUUCGUUCUGUCAUCUUUGCUGUUGAGUUUAGAUUGAAUAGCCAUGUUCACCCUGCUUGAGUGAUUAACAUUUAAGACUAUGUCCUACUGUUUUUUCAAGACUAUUUAUUUCCUCAUUUGCUGUUCCUCUAGUUAAUAUUGGAGCUUUACCUCAAAUAAAAAAAAUAUCCAUACCAAAAUGAUGCUAAAUAAACUGAAGUUCCCCAAUAGAACGACAACUAAAAGUAAUAAAUAUAGUUGAAACCUUUAAACACCAUAAAUAGAAGCAACAUUCUAGUAAAAAGAAAUAGCUGAACAAAAUACAUGCAUUUCAGACCGAUAGAUGUGCCAACUCCUACAUGUUUCUUAUCUUUCAAAUGUGUAUGCAUAGAUUUUUGUCGCAUUUCAAAUGUGAACAUAUUCCGACAGAUGAUUUUAAUUUUCACUAAAUUACCCAGUGUGCAGGUGUACGGGUUGAUGACUAGUUUAUAAAUAAUGAUAUUUUUUAGUUCAGAUAGCCUUUAGCAUCCAGCAUUUAAUUUGCAUACUUGUGUCUUUUUAAGCAAUAGUUGUAUUUUUGAAAUUAUUGUUUAUUUUUUAGGAAAUUAUUCACUAAGUGACUUAGAAUUCCAGUAAGAGAUCAAAUGAACUAUAAGAUGCAAGAAAGAAAUUAUUUAUUAUAUUAUUUUAUAUCUUUUGAUCUUUGUGCUGUUACACGAUCCAAACCAGAACCAUAAAAUUUGCUGAAGCAAAUAAAAGUAGCAUAGACAUUAGAAGUAACUAGAAUUAUUACAUGGAAGCGACAUCAGAGCAUUCUGCUGUCAUAGCCGCAAGAAGCCUUGGCAUUGGGGGCAUAUCGAGCUCCUUUACACCCUCAAGAACUCGGACCACUUCACCCAUCGUUGGCCGGUCCAACUCAUUAUCCUGGAUACACCAACAUGCUACAUUGCAAACUCUUUCAACCUCAUCCAAGCUGAAGUCGCCAUAUAAUUGUGGAUCCACCAAGCUCUGCACAUCUCCCUCGUGAAGCUUGUUGAUGGCUUGCACAGGGAAAUAAGCGACAUGGUCGCUGCCGCUAGUGUGUACCACAGAUGCAUUCCUUCUUCCUGAUAUGAUUUCCAUCAGUACCAUGCCAAAACUGUAAACAUCGACUUUUGAUGUAAUAGCAACCCCGCUAAGCCACUCCGGGGCAAGAUACCCCAUUGUACCCCUGAAUGUAGUUAGAACCCGGCUAAAAUCCCUUCCUAUGACCGAUGCCAAUCCAAAGUCCGCAAUUUUCGGGACAAAUGCUUCAUUGAGGAGUACAUUUUCUGGCUUGAUAUCACAGUGUAUGAUGCAUUCGUGGCAACUCUGAUGCAAGUAGGACAAACCUCUAGCAACUCCGAUGGCUAUUUGAUAUCUGGUGCUCCAGUCGAGGACUGUACCAUUGCUCUCGAACAGAUAGGAAUCGAGAGAACCAUUGCACAUGUGUUCAUAUACAAGUAGCCUCUUCACCAUGACAGCAGAAACCAACCAAUUUCACCUGGUUGAUGUGCUGGAUCAGUCCAAGUGCACUUACCUCUGCCCUGAAUUGCUUCUCUCCCUGACUCGCACCUUCAAGCCUUUUCACUGUUACACUAGUCUGGUCACUUAAAGCUCCCUUGAAUACAGUACCAAAACCUCCGGCUCCCAGCUUCUCUGUGAAGUUUUUUGUAGCACGGCCCAAGUUGGCGUAUCCAAAGGCAACAACGCCAACACUACCUUCAUUGGUGGCAUUUGAGGACACACCACACCAGCUGAAUCUGUUCCUUGAGAUCACUAGUAGCAGCAUGAGCAUUAGCAACCCAAAACCGAUAACGCUUGCAGCAAUAACAACUCCGGUUAGUACUGGUUUUCUUUUAUCUCUUGUGGAACUUGGGAAAUCUCUGGCGGCAAGGCGAAUGUACAGAGUAUAUUCAGAGCGGAUCUCGAUGCCAUCAUCCUUGUUUACACUGAACAACUCCCCAUGCCAAACAGAGCAUUUGCUGUCUUCGUAGGAGUAAGCAGUGCAGGAGCAGUUGCUGAGACAGGCCGAUUCGCAUUCGCCCCGAGUUGCAGGAGCAUCCUGUGAGCUCCGGGGGCCGUAGGGCAAUGUGACACGAGCUAUGGGGUGGAACACGUCUGUCGAACUCCUGUUGCCAUUGCAAUCCAGCGGAGUGCGUCUGGAGCACCCUCCUGUCCGAUCACCCAGCUCCCAAUCCUGAGGCGACGUCCUGGAGAAGCUCUCCAUGCACUCGCAGGGCGGCUGCGCGCUGCCGGUGCAGACGGUGAACGGUCCGCAGGUGGCGUAUGGGCGGCAGAGAUCGAUGGGCUGGACGUAGAUGGUCUGCCAUGCCUGGUUGGCCUGCGACCACACGUUCAGCUUGGUCUGACCAGACGUGUCGAGGGAGAGGAACGUGGAGGAGGCCUCGUCCGGUGAGGUGUACAUGUAGUACUCCUCCUCGCUGUUGUCCACGGAUUCCGGGACGACCAACCCUCUGGUCUGUGGGUUUAUCUUCAGCAGCGCUCGGAGUGCUGGCAUCUGCAUCGGCGACUCUUCGGGCGACCACGACCAGUACACUUGGGAAGGGUAGCCUCGGUGCCCCACCAUCACCAUCCUGGUGCCAUUGGUUUCCAGCCCCACGCUGAAGGAGCCGAGAUCCGGGUCGACCCGGCUCUUCCACGAGAUGCCGACGCGGUUCAGGCCGGUGACCUUGUUCCAGCCGAUCUUGGCGCCGGGGAGCGCCACGUCGGUUGGGUCGUCGAAGCUCUGCCACAGCACCUCACUUGACGGGCUUUCUAUGACGAGGUUUCCACUGCCCAAAAGGAUGGCCUUGCCGCUGCUGCUGGUGGAGGUGGUGUUGGUUUUGUUACUGCUGGUGAUGUGGCUGGACCAGACGACGGACUGGGUGGCGUUGUUUAAGAUGACAAGGUUGCCAUCUUCUGAAAUUUGGAGCUGUGUUGCUCUCAGGUCGAGUCCGGCGAUCGGCCUCUCCGGGUUGGCGACCCAGACCGGGGUAAUGACAUUGAUCUUAUUGAACCAUAUGGCAAGGUACCAACCGGGAGAGGUAGAUGACUUACUAACGUUGCCGGCGCCGGGCUGGAAGAAGCCAAGCGCGAACUUGCCGGUGCUGGAAACGAGCUUGUCGCCGACGGCAAAUGACUGGCCUGGCGCCAGAGUAUCGUUUUCUGUGGCUGCGGUAGGAGGAAUAGUUUGCACGGAGAUGAGGAGGAGGAGGCUGAGGAACACGUGGAGAGUAGCCAUGGCUGCUCUGCACGUAUGUCUGCUUGCUCGGCCUCGGCUCUGCUAUUCAACUAAGGAGGCCUAGGACUACAGGAGAGGCAACGUGAGGGAAGACAAGGCAGGCGAAUAGGCGGCGACGCCGCUGCAAGCGGGUCAACUUAACCCAGCUGCUGCCACGAGAAAAAUCAUGCAAACUUUUUUCAGCAUUCUAUACAUGUAUGCAUUUUUAAUACGAAAUNNNNNNNNNNNNNNNNNNNNNNNNNNNNNNNNNNNNNNNNNNNNNNNNNNNNNNNNNNNNNNNNNNNNNNNNNNNNNNNNNNNNNNNNNNNNNNNNNNNNNNNNNNNNNNNNNNNNNNNNNNNNNNNNNNNNNNNNNNNNNNNNNNNNNNNNNNNNNNNNNNNNNNNNNNNNNNNNNNNNNNNNNNNNNNNNNNNNNNNNNNNNNNUUGUUGUAUACAUGUUGUGUUGUCACAUUACCUCAUUCAACUUGUUGAACCACUUUGCAGGGACCACAUCUCAUCUGAUUCAAAGAGAUAAGCGCAUGUGGUAGACACCGCAGCAAGUUGAAGAACCAACACUAGCAAGUAGCAACAUGUGAAGAAGAAACAGUAUAUGGCACUCUGAACACUUAACUGUUCAAGGCAUCAUUACAUCCACUCCGAACCGCUGACCUUUCUCGAAUGUCUUAUUUCUCCAUGAAGUUAUGGGGAUAAUACCAUUUCAUUCAUGUACCGACGACGACCUUAUUUGUUAGUAUGCCCAUAGCUGUUUCCUUUUCUUUUUGAAAAACAAGGUAUAUACAGAGCAGAGCAAGAUUAUUUCAUGCAGUUAGCCAUUGGUCUGUCUGAAUGGUGAGCUAUUUCAGAAACAAUGAACAAUGGUAGAGCACACCGUGUCAAACUCUUAGUAUCAUGUUGCUGUUGCCGAAUGCUGAUUGAUUCUUGACAGCAGUGGCCACUUGACCACUUGUACUGGGUGCAUGCGCUGUAGCACGCAAUAGAUGAGCAUUUUGAUGCACUAUAACAUGUAGUGGGUCUGGCUUGGCCAAUCCCAGGGCCUGCAACGAAGCUUCGUCCUUGGAAGUUUAUUUCCUUGGUCAACAAUUGCAAGCCACAGACAACUGAACCUCAUGCUUCAAGGACCAUCUCGUCCCGUUCAAAUCCAUCCAUCCCAUGGUCACCAGGCAAAAGCAUCUCAUUUCCACGCCUUCCCGGUUUUCUCAUUCCAUACCUUUUUCUUUUUCUUUUAAGAAACUCUCAUUCCAUAGCUACAUGCGUGUUUUUUUUUGAGCUACAUGCAUGCUACAUAGUUCUUUUCUUUAGGGGAAACAUACUCACUUUAUUGCUUGAAUAAAAGGUUUAUAGGAAUUACAUUAAUGCCAUGUGGAUUCAAAAACCACACAUGACGCCCUUGAGAUAGAGAAAGAGUAUGUUUCGCUAAGCCAUGAGCCUCCAUAUUUGAACAGCGCCCUUCAUGAGCAAAAGAGCAAGAAGUAAAAGCUAAAGCUCGUUGGUUGAUCUCAUGGAGUAUGGUCGCAUUCGGUCCUUCAGAUCCAUUCGUCACGUCACUUACCACACCCUUACAAUUAGUCG
rnacentral:lncRNA from 1 species